rnacentral:rRNA from 1 species
AGUGAACGCUGGCGGUAGGCCUAACACAUGCAAGUCGAACGGCAGCACAGUAAGAGCUUGCUCUUACGGGUGGCGAGUGGCGGACGGGUGAGGAAUACAUCGGAAUCUACUUUUUCGUGGGGGAUAACGUAGGGAAACUUACGCUAAUACCGCAUACGACCUACGGGUGAAAGCAGGGGAUCUUCGGACCUUGCGCGAUUGAAUGAGCCGAUGUCGGAUUAGCUAGUUGGCGGGGUAAAGGCCUACCAAGGCGACGAUCCGUAGCUGGGCUGCGAGGAUGAUCAGCCACACUGGAACUGAGACACGGUCCAGGCUCCUACGGGAGGCAGCAGUGGGGAAUGUUGGACAAUGGGCGCAAGCCUGAUCCAGCCAUACCGCGUGGGUGAAGAAGGCCUUCGGGUUGUAAAGCCCUUUUGUUGGGAAAGAAAAGCAGCAGGUUAAUACCCCGCUGUUCUGACGGUACCCAAAGAAUAAGCACCGGCUAACUUCGUG